rnacentral:tRNA from 1 species
UCCAGGGAUGGGAAGCCUAGUGGACAUGGCAUCUGCCCGGUAAGCGGACACUGUGGGUUCGUUUCCCAUCCCUGGAC